rnacentral:rRNA from 1 species
GACGAACCGUGCGAACGUUGUUCGGAUUCACUGGGCUUAAAGGGCGCGUAGGCGGGCGGCAACGUCGGGGGUGAAAUCUCACGGCCCAACCGUGAAACGGCCUCCGAUACGGGCCGCCUCGAGGGAGGUAGGGGCACGCGGAACUUCCGGUGGAGCGGUGAAAUGCGUAGAUAUCGGAAGGAACGCCGGUGGCGAAAGCGGCGAUGCUGGGCCUUCGUCGUGACGCUGAGGCGCGAAAGCCAGGGGA